CUUACUCAUAUGACAUUCUUGAUCAAUUAGGCAUAUGAGGAUAACCCGUUAAUUUAUCCUGAAAUCCUUGACAAACUUUUGAAAAAGAAAUUUUCAUUCCGUGUCAAAUAUCAGACUAUGUACCAACAAUGCUCGAUUGUAAUACUUAAUGAUGAUUUCUUAAACCCCAAUGAGCAAACAUCAAAGGCUCCACAUAAAGUGCAUGUUGCCACCAUUCCAUUUGAUCAAAAUAACCAAACUAUGCUGAGCCAAUCCACCGAUUUAACUAUCUCUACACAACCAACCAUGUCAAACAAGCAAAAUUGGAGCCUUGAAUGUAGUUCAACUAAUACACCAGCGAAAAGAUAUGCUCCUACCAUUAACCUAAUGAUCUUCCUGCAAAUGCAUUUAUAACACCCAAGCAAUCUGCAACCAAAGAAA